rnacentral:rRNA from 1 species
UACGAAGGGGGCUAGCGUUGUUCGGAAUUACUGGGCGUAAAGCGCACGUAGGCGGGCUCUUAAGUCGGUGGUGAAAUCCUGGAGCUCAACUCCAGAACUGCCUCCGAUACUGAGAGUCUUCGAGUCCGGGAGAGGUGAGUGGAACUGCGAGUGUAGAGGUGAAAUUCGUAGAUAUUCGCAAGAACACCAGUGGCGAAGGCGGCUCACUGGCCCGGUACUGACGCUGAGGUGCGAAAGCGUGGGGAGCAAACAGG